rnacentral:rRNA from 1 species
GCGUUCUGUAAGCCUGUGAAGGUGUGUCGUGAGGCAUGCUGGAGGUAUCAGAAGUGCGAAUGCUGACAUAAGUAACGAUAAAGCGGGUGAAAAGCCCGCUCGCCGGAAGACCAAGGGUUCCUGUCCAACGUUAAUCGGGGCAGGGUGAGUCGACCCCUAAGGCGAGGCCGAAAGGCGUAGUCGAUGGGAAACGGGUUAAUAUUCCCGUACUUGGUGUUACUGCGAAGGGGGGACGGAGAAGGCUAUGUUGGCCGGGCGACGGUUGUCCCGGUUUAAGCGUGUAGGUGUGUGUUCCAGGUAAAUCCGGUUCACUUUAACACUGAGGCGUGACGACGAGGCACUACGGUGCUGAAGCAACAAAUGCCCUGCUUCCAGGAAAAGCCUCUAAGCAUCAGGUAACAUCAAAUCGUACCCCAAACCGACACAGGUGGUCAGGUAGAGAAUACCAAGGCGCUUGAGAGAACUCGGGUGAAGGAACUAGGCAAAAUGGUGCCGUAACUUCGGGAGAAGGCACGCUGACACGUAGGUGAAGUGAUUUACUCAUGGAGCUGAAGUCAGUCGAAGAUACCAGCUGGCUGCAACUGUUUAUUAAAAACACAGCACUGUGCAAACACGAAAGUGGACGUAUACGGUGUGACGCCUGCCCGGUGCCGGAAGGUUAAUUGAUGGGGUCAGCGCAAGCGAAGCUCCUGAUCGAAGCCCCGGUAAACGGCGGCCGUAACUAUAACGGUCCUAAGGUAGCGAAAUUCCUUGUCGGGUAAGUUCCGACCUGCACGAAUGGCGUAAUGAUGGCCAGGCUGUCUCCACCCGAGACUCAGUGAAAUUGAACUCGCUGUGAAGAUGCAGUGUACCCGCGGCAAGACGGAAAGACCCCGUGAACCUUUACUAUAGCUUGACACUGAACAUUGAGCCUUGAUGUGUAG